rnacentral:rRNA from 1 species
UGGGGAAUAUUGGACAAUGGGCGCAAGCCUGAUCCAGCCAUGCCGCGUGAGUGAAGAAGGCCUUAGGGUUGUAAAGCUCUUUUAGUGGGGAAGAUAAUGACGGUACCCACAGAAUAAGCCCCGGCUAACUUCGUGCCAGCAGCCGCGGUAAUACGAAGGGGGCUAGCGUUGUUCGGAAUCACUGGGCGUAAAGCGCAUGCAGGCGGACUGAUAAGUCGGGGGUGAAAUCCCGGGGCUCAACCUCGGAACUGCCUUCGAUACUGUCAGCCUUGAGUCCGGGAGAGGUGAGUGGAAUUCCUAGUGUAGAGGUGAAAUUCGUAGAUAUUAGGAAGAACACCAGUGGCGAAGGCGACUCACUGGCCCGGUACUGACGCUCAGAUGCGAAAGCGUGGGGAGCAAACA